CGAAAAAGUGCGGAUAUAAGAAGCUGGAUCUUCGGCCAGAUGCGAUUCCUACUCUGUUUGACCUCCCGGGAAAGUUGAGAAAAAACUGAGGACAUCUACAGCCUUCUUAAAGCGAAGGACGAUCGAGGAGUCUACAAAAAGCUGGACACCAUUUCCAAAUAGAAAUAUUGUGAACUGAUUUGGGCAUGGGCUUACUCCAUCAGUAAUCACAUUUUUUUCUGUGCAGCUACCAUUGAUGGAAAUGGAGAUUUGGUUCGGGAGAAAUGGGUCUCCAUACUAAAUCACGUGUUGGACAUUUACGAGGGACACGGCGAGUUAUACCGAAGGUGCCUUCAUGGACCUGUGGAUAACGGACUCUGGAUUAGGAGAAGAUCUAAGGCAUUCUUAGAGUUGGAAUAAGUUGACGAUUGCUGUAAACAGACAUCAAACAGUUAUCUCGCAUUGGUCAAACCCCUUGCUUGGAGGCAUUCCACAAAGUGGUGUGCUCAUUCGCACCCAAAGCUGUUCACUCUUUAGUCCCCUACCGGUUUUCACCGGAGGGGACUAUAGCUUUCUUCUGCGUCCGUCAGUCCAUCCGUCCGUCUGUCUGUCCGUCCGUCUGUCUGUCCUACUUCAGUUUUCCACACUUUUUUUCUUUAUGCGUUUGAGGAAUAAUAUGAAAUUUGCUGAACAGCUUCAAAAUGUCAAACUACAGAUCAAGUUUACACUUGGGGAGUGGUAGAAGCAAUACCGUGUUUCAUAUCCAUCCAAAGGGCAGAAAAGGAGAAGGUGUUGCGAAGGAAGUUAAAGUUGAUCAAACUUUUAACUACAUCUUUGAUCUGAUGGCUGCUGUUGUAACUCUGCGAACUGUCAACGAUAGCUAUGUAAAAACUAGAGAGGCCCUUGACAGAUUGCCAAGAAGACAACCCCCACCGCUGUCCCAGAGCACCCCGACACCACCUAAACAAGUGACUGUCCAGCAACAUAUUGGCCGUUUUAAUAAUUGACAAUAACAGGCAUGAGAGCGCUUACAAGGUCAAUUUUUGGAUAAAACGGAGUCAUUAUUGUGGUCAGAGUCCCAUAACUCCAACAAAAAGUAUCGAUUAAUGCUGAUUUUCGAACUUGACCAAGGAUAGCGAAACCCACAGUACUGCUGGUUGGGAAACUGGUUCUUGAUAGCCGUCAAUACACAGGCUGGUAGAAUCCUCCUUUUGUGUCGUCCCCGACGCCUCAAUAUAAACCUGACAAAUCUUCUAUAAGCAAGGUGUCGAUAAAGCCUACAUGAGAAAUUUGAAGGCGACUUUUAAAUUGUGAUAUGUUUAAUUAAAUUAACGGGAACUUUAUUUUGGCUGUAAAAUUUGAUUAACUGAUUUCUCUUGAUAUUUUUAUGCAUUUUUAAGAAAAGAUCUUACCCAUGGAU